GAUGAACGCUGGCGGCGUGCCUAAUACAUGCAAGUCGAGCGAACAGACGAGGAGCUUGCUCCUCUGACGUUAGCGGCGGACGGGUGAGUAACACGUGGAUAACCUACCUAUAAGACUGGGAUAACUUCGGGAAACCGGAGCUAAUACCGGAUAAUAUAUUGAACCGCGUGGUUCAAUAGUGAAAGACGGUUUUGCUGUCACUUAUAGAUGGAUCCGCGCCGCAUUAGCUAGUUGGUAAGGUAACGGCUUACCAAGGCAACGAUGCGUAGCCGACCUGAGAGGGUGAUCGGCCACACUGGAACUGAGACACGGUCCAGACUCCUACGGGAGGCAGCAGUAGGGAAUCUUCCGCAAUGGGCGAAAGCUUGACGGAGCAACGCCGCGUGAGUGAUGAAGGUCUUCGGAUCGUAAAACUCUGUUAUUAGGGAAGAACAAAUGUGUAAGUAACUAUGCACGUCUUGUCGGUACCUAAUCAGAAAGCCACGGCUAACUACGUG
rnacentral:rRNA from 1 species